rnacentral:rRNA from 1 species
UACGAAGGGGGGCUAGCGUUGCUCGGAAUCACUGGGCGUAAAGCGCACGUAGGCGGCUUUCUAAGUCAGGGGUGAAAUCUUGGAGCUUAACUCCGAAACUGCAUUCGAUACUGCCGUGCUUGAGGACUGGAGAGGAGACUGGAAUUUACGGUGUAGCGGUGAAAUGCGUAGAUAUCGUAAGGAAGACCAGUGGCGAAGGCGGGUCUCUGGACAGUUCCUGACGCUGAGGCACGAAGGCCAGGGGAGCAAACGGG